rnacentral:tRNA from 4 species
GCACCAUUAGUGUAAUGGAUAUCACGUAAGAUUCCGGUUCUUAAAAUGGGGGUUCGAUUCCCUCAUGGUGCG